AUAAAUAUUUAACGUGCACUACUGGCCUUCUUCCGUUCUGUCCCAGACUCCCAGUCGAUCCAACUCCCUUCCCCUUGCGAGCGCCGUCCCCUCCUCCCCCGGUUCCGAUAUCUCCGGCGUUGGUCCGCUGCUCCGCCGCCGUCGCGCCACGGCCGCGAAGUUCCCCGCCGCCGCCGCCAAGGCUAUUCUCCUCUCUGCCCUACCACGCCUGUCUCUUCUGGAGAUGGGACGAAUAGCCGUUGCAGCGGUGGUGAGCUUGUGGGCCAUUCCCAUCUCGAUCUUGGUCAAUAGAAUCGUUCCCGAUCCCUACAUGGAUGAGAUAUUCCACGUCCCUCAGGCGCAGCGGUACUGCAGAGGAGAUUUCACAUCUUGGGAUCCAAUGAUCACCACUCCUCCUGGCCUGUAUUAUCUUUCACUUGCCUAUGUUGCUUCUUUGUUUCCGGGCAUGUGGUUUGCUAAGGCAGUCCAAUCUUUCCCUUUACUCUGUUCGACCACAAUUCUUCGAUCUACCAAUGCUGUUUUUGCCAUUAUUUGUAGCAUUCUUGUUUAUGACUUGCUUAUCCUCUUGAGACCUACUAUGAGCGAAAGGAAGGCAACGUUAUAUGCAAUUGUGUUAACACUCUAUCCAGUUCACUGGUUCUUCACAUUUCUGUACUAUACAGAUGUUGCUUCACUAACUGCAGUUCUUGCAAUGUACAUGGCCAGUUUGAAGGAGGAGUAUUGGAUCAGUGCAAUGCUUGGGGCAUUUGCCAUACUUAUUCGGCAAACAAAUGCAGUGUGGAUGGUUUUUGUUGCUGCUAAUGGUGCUAUCACAUAUGCCGAGAACUCAUAUGAAAAGGUUUUUGUUCCAAGGAACCCUAAGGGAAUAGUGUUUGAGGGCAAUAAUUUGCUAUUAGACAGAAAAGACAUUCCAACAGAUCAAGGAUUGAGGAAGCGAAAGAUGAGUAGCUCCGUUAAUACCACUGACCUAUCUAAAUUCGAGACUAGUGGACAUUCCUUGUGCCAUGCUCCAGCUAAUAGACAUGUGGCAGGUUUUAUUGACGAAAUCCUGGAUACCACUUUAAAGUUAUGGUGUUCGAAGUGGAAAGUCUUGAUUUCUUUUGCACCAUUUAUCAUGGUAGCAUUGGCUUUUUUAGCUUUUGUCAUCUGGAAUGGGAGUAUAGUUCUUGGUGCAAAAGAAGCUCAUGUAGUUUCUCCCCACCUUGCCCAGUUGAUGUAUUUUGGUCUGGUUUCUGGAGCUGCCUUUGCUCCCUUGUACUUUAAUUUAGGCCAAGCUGCAGCUCUGUACCAUUCAUUUAGGAGGAAUAAAGUUCUUGGUUCUUUACUCAUAUUGGUGGCUCUUACUGUAGGCUUUACUUCAAUACACUUUUUCAGCAUAGCCCAUCCGUAUCUGCUGGCAGACAACCGGCACUACACCUUCUAUAUUUGGCGAAAAGUGAUCCAAGUUCACUGGAUGAUGAAAUACCUUUUAGUCCCACUUUAUGUAUAUUCAUGGUUUUCCAUCAUCAGCAUACUAGGGAAAGCUCAGAAUAGGAUUUGGGUGUUCUCUUUCUUCAUAUCUUGCGCACUGGUUCUCAUACCUGCACCACUUAUUGAGUUCAGAUAUUAUACUAUACCGUUCUACUUCUUGAUUCUUCAUUCUCAGGUUACUGAUUAUGACCAGUGGCUGACCGUUGGUACUCUAUAUGUGGCUGUAAAUAUCUUCACAAUGACUAUGUUUCUGUUCCGUCCUUUCCAUUGGGAUCACGAGCCUGGAACUCAGAGGUUUAUAUGGUAGUCUAGUGGCAGAUCUGAAGAGACUGACUAGUUUGUACAAUCACACUCAGAAUAGUACCGGCUAACCUGCAUGUCUGCUUAUCAUGAUUCCCAAGCAAAAUUUGCCUGAUCUUCCAAGAACGUGGUAGAUCAUAAAUUCCAAAUCACAGUUUACAGCAGCUAGAUUCUCACAACUUUUCAUCAUGAUGGAUCAUGGGAGGAUAUCUUGUAAAUCAGGCAUUCACUGCAAAUUGUUGUUUAUCAGCAGAAAAAGGCUGAAGACUUAUAGAACUGAAUUUUAUUCUUCGAGAACUAUGAACAAAAAAUGCUUGGAUCAGACAAGGAAUAUUAAGUAACUUAACCAACAUUCAGGGCAAGCACGACAGACACGGUCUUACUGUUCACAUGAUUGUUGUUGUCAAAUACGCUAUUUUCGUUUAUUUCUUGAGAUGCCGAGCUCAAAAGUAAAUCUUAGACUCAUAGACGUCCAAAUUUCAAUGUUGCAAUCACUAUGUGUGUAGUUGUCUACUUAAUAAAGACAUCUGUACACAAAGUCCCCGCUUCAAACCUCGAUUGCUGCUUCAUGAUCUUUAUCAUAGGUGAAGUAGAAAAUUAAGAUAGUUUGUAGUGAAGUUCUCUCAAACUUUUUAUAAAGCCUUCUCAACAUGAAGUUGUACUUAAACCAAAUAUGUGAUAAUUUUUGAGGCUUGGAUGAUGAUGGACUUAUAUGUGUUCAUAAUUUGAAGAAUAGCUCUCUUAAAAAUCUAAGGCUAUGUUCAGUUCAAGAAUAUGACAAAUGGAAGUAGCGAAAAUUGUGCCCAUGAAA